GGAGAACUCCCACGGCUCUGGCCUCCCCUCCCCCUCCUCGCUCUCUGUCGCCUAGCCUAGAGGAGAAGGCUGCUUAGCAGAGAAAUGGCAACUCAGCGGAGAGCUGGAACUAGAAACUUUCUGUCAGUGUAACGUCCGCGUGGGUGGUGACCCAAUGAUGGUUGGGCUUCGGGUCACGUGACAGCCUCAUUGUAGCUCCGGAAGAGAACGUGAAGUUUAGGUUGCCUGGAAGAAGCAGUAAUAAGGAGACUGAAAGGGAGAACAAAAAAAAUCAAGAUUUUGGGGAAAUUACCCACAGAGAUGCAAGGGAAAAAGAAAAAGGAAAAGGAAAAACUGUGCAUCUGCUGGAAUCUCUUUUCUACUGAGAUGGGGGAAAUUAUCCAGGAUGAGAAAGACUCACAAAACAAUUUGAACACUAUUCUUCUCUGGAUUCAAAGGGGAGGCUGUUUACUGAGGUUCCCAACAGCAAAAAAUAAAAUAAAAUAAAAUUAUGGUCACUAUUCUAACACAGUCUUUUUAAAGUGCACCCGAAAAAUAAAGCUGGACCGUGUCAGGAGGUUUUGUAUUUGUUCUGAGAUUUCUGACUCUUUCUCUGUCCUCUCCAGUCCUCUUAUGGGUACU
rnacentral:lncRNA from 1 species